rnacentral:rRNA from 1 species
UGAAAAGCUUGCUUUUCAGGCGUCGAGUGGCGGACGGGUGAGUAACGCGUAGGAAUCUACCCAUUAGCGGGGGAUAGCCCGAAGAAAUUCGGAUUAAUACCGCAUAACAAUCUACGGAUUAAAGAAGGCCUCUGCUUCAUGCUUUCGCUAUUGGAUGAGCCUGCGUUGGAUUAGCUUGUUGGUAGGGUAAAGGCCUACCAAGGCUACGAUCCAUAGCUGGUCUGAGAGGACGAUCAGCCACACUGGGACUGAGAUACGGCCCAGACUCC